CAGAGUUAUCCAACUCCCAAACCCAUGUGAACUUAUCUCUUUGUUGCCUCGGCGCAAGCUACCCGGGACCCUCGCGCCCGCGAGGGGCGCCCGCCGGUCUCAUCAGAGUCUCUGUUUUCGAACCCGACGAUACUUCUGAGUGUUCUUAGCGAACUGUCAA
rnacentral:misc_RNA from 1 species